CAAUGGGAAUUGUCUACUAUGUUAGUAGUGUCAACUAAGUUACCCUGUAGAGCCAACUCGUGAAUUACAUUACUGUCAUGACCAUACUGUGUGACUGUGUCCACUGUCCACUGAUGAUAAUGAAUUAUUUAAGUGUUAGUUCACCCAAAAAUGAAAAUUCUGUCAUUUAUUACUCACCCUCAUGUCGUUCCACACCCGUCCGUAAGACCUUCGUUCAUCUUCGGAACACAAAUUUAGAUAUUUUUGAUGAAAUCCAAUGGCUCAGUGAAGCCUGCAUUGACAGCAAAAUAAUUAACACUUUCAAUGCCCAGAAAGGUACUAAAAUCAUAUUUAAAAAAGUUCAUGUGACUACAGUGGUUCAACCUUAAUGUUAUGAAGCGACAAGAAUACUUUUUGUGCGCCAAAAAACAAAAAACAAAAUAAUGACUUUAUUCAACAAUAUCUAGUGAUGGGCGAUUUCACAACACUGCCAAAGUCAUGUGAUUUCAGUAAACGAUGCUUCGUUAUGUCAUAAGUGUUUCGAAACGUUUCGAAAUUUCAAUGGUUCACGUGACUUUGGCAGUUUGAUACGUGCUCCGAACUACUAAUUCGAAACAAAAGAUUUGUAAAGCUUCGAAGCUUCAUGAAGCAGUGUUUUUAAAAAUCGCUCAUCACUAUAUAUUGUUGAAUAAUGUCAUUAUUUUGUUUUUCUGGCACACAAAAAGUAUUCUCGUCACUUCAUAACAUUAAGGCCUCACUGAGCCAACGGAUUUUAUGAAAAAUACCUUAAUUUGUGUUCCGAAGAUGAAGGUCUUACAGGUGUGGAACGACAUGAGGGAUAUAUUUUAUAUCCACACAGGUAGGAGUUUUGCAUAACAUCUCUUAAAAUUACCAAAAAAUAUCUUUAAGGCAGAUUUAUAAUAAAAAAAAAAUCCCCUGUAUUUAGUAACAGUAAUGAGAAUAUCAUAUGGAAAUCUCCACAAAAUAUGACUCUUAAAAUUCUUCAUAACCAACUGUAAUAGAAAACAUAAAAGAGUCCCUAAAUACAUGUGUUACUUGAAGUGUAGCACUUAAUCAGAGUCUGCGUAGUGCCAUACAGUUUGUCCGUAACAUAACUGACAAAUUAAACUGGGAAAACAUCCUUUCCCUUGUAAUAUCAAAAUGAUGUUUAAUGAAUAAGCUUGGCAACUACACUGAUGAAAUAUAUAAACUGAAACCAAUAGUCAUUUUAUUGAGAAAGCAUAUUGUUUUGGUACUUUUUUGUUGUUGUUGCUGAUGUGAAAUGUACCCCCAAUUAUAGAAUGCGUUCUAUAUAUAUAGAUAUAUUAUAUUAUAGAGAGUAAGAACAAAAAGACAUCCACCUGUUCACCGAUCAUUAUGCUAUUAGACACAUACACAUAGUAUAUAUACCAGGUGAAUUGUGCAUACGUGUUUUAUAUUUGUCUAGUUAUUCCAUUCACUCAAUAUUAAAUGAUACGAGUGUGAGGGACAUUU